UGAGGAGACCCUGCAACAAGCCAUGCUUGCCCGGAUGGGCGGAGAUCGAGCAGGAGUGGAUUCUGUGGUGCACCAGGAUGAGGGUGCCCACGAAUCUUACCUUGUCACGGCCGGCUCUCCUCUCUCCCUCCGCGUUAUGCAUUGGUAGCUUUGUUGGAUUGGCAACGCCGGUGAAGUUCGAUAUUGGAGAUCAAUUGGCGUGGAUCUUGAAGCAUGUGCUUGACACGUCAUGUUUCUCGUUCGUUCGUUCCAGGAACUCCUCGGCCCGAACGAACGCCUUAUCCUCUCCACCGUCACUUUUUCCUUCUGGGCUUCUUUUCCCCAUCCCCAUCGUCUUCACUGAGAGAGAGAGAGAGUCGAGCUGGAGCAGCCGCGCCUUGCCGCCGCUCACCGGUGAGGCCUCGCGGCGCCCCGUUGGUGGCUUAGAUUUCGGGGAGGCGCUCGAGGGGAGCGACGGCGGCGGAGACCUGGGAGGCGGCGGAGGUGCUGCUCGCAGGAAGUGGCGGUGGCGGCGGCUGCCACACCAGCGGAGCUGUCCAAUGCCGCAGCAGGGCCUACCACGGCACCGGCAAGCUGCCUGCACUGCAAGCGGGGAGCGACGCCGGCGGCGACCUGGGAGGCAGCAGAGGUGCUGCUAG
rnacentral:rRNA from 1 species